CCUACGGGGGGCUGCAGUGGGGAAUAUUGCACAAUGGGGGAAACCCUGAUGCAGCGACGCCGCGUGAGUGAAGAAGUAAUUCGUUAUGUAAAGCUCUAUCAGCAGGGAAGAAAAUGACGGUACCUGAGUAAGAAGCCCCGGCUAACUACGUGCCAGCAGCCGCGGUAAUACGUAGGGGGCAAGCGUUAUCCGGAUUUACUGGGUGUAAAGGGAGCGUAGACGGCAGUGCAAGUCUGGAGUGAAAGGCGGGGGCUCAACCCCGGCGAGCCGUUGAAACUGGCUGUCUUGAGAUGUCGAGAGGUAUGCGGAAUGCGCAGUGUAGCGGUGAAAUGCUUAGAUAUUGCGCAGAACUCCGAUUGCGAAGGCAGCAUACCGGCGGCGAUCUGACGCUGAGGCACGAAAGCGUGGGUAUCGAACAGGAUUAGAUACCCGAGUAGUC
rnacentral:rRNA from 1 species